rnacentral:lncRNA from 1 species
AUUUUAAAUACCUAUGUUAAAUUUAAUAUUUUUCAAAUUAAGUCGAUGUUCAAAAGCUUUGAAGAAAUCUUCGUGUAUUCAAUUAAAAAGAUAUAUAUCAUUAAUUUACAAAUGUAUUUCACACUUAGAAAUAUUACAUAAAGAUUAAUUUGAGAAUACAUUUCAUACCAUUGUAGACUGAUUAAAAACAGGCUACUUUUAAGUGUAUCCCAUUUUUCCUGUUAUUAAAUUAAAUGAAAUAUUUGGAACAAUUGUGUUGCAAAUACCUGUAAUUUGAUCAAGG